ACUCCUACGGGAGGCAGCAGUGGGGAAUAUUGGACAAUGGGCGAAAGCCUGAUCCAGCCAUGCCGCGUGUGUGAAGAAGGUCUUCGGAUUGUAAAGCACUUUAAGUUGGGAGGAAGGGCAGUUACCUAAUACGUGAUUGUUUUGACGUUACCGACAGAAUAAGCACCGGCUAACUCUGUGCCAGCAGCCGCGGUAAUACAGAGGGUGCAAGCGUUAAUCGGAAUUACUGGGGCGUAAAGCGCGCGUAGGUGGUUAGUUAAGUUGGAUGUGAAAUCCCCGGGGCUCAACCUGGGAACUGCAUUCAAAACUGACUGACUAGAGUAUGGUAGAGGGUGGUGGAAUUUCCUGUGUAGCGGUGAAAUGCGUAGAUAUAGGAAGGAACACCAGUGGCGAAGGCG
rnacentral:rRNA from 1 species